ACUCCUACGGGAGGCAGCAGUAGGGAAUCUUCCACAAUGGGCGCAAGCCUGAUGGAGCAACACCGCGUGAGUGAAGAAGGGUUUCGGCUCGUAAAGCUCUGUUGUUAAAGAAGAACACGUAUGAGAGUAACUGUUCAUACGUUGACGGUAUUUAACCAGAAAGUCACGGCUAACUACGUGCCAGCAGCCGCGGUAAUACGUAGGUGGCAAGCGUUAUCCGGAUUUAUUGGGCGUAAAGAGAGUGCAGGCGGUUUUCUAAGUCUGAUGUGAAAGCCUUCGGCUUAACCGGAGAAGUGCAUCGGAAACUGGAUAACUUGAGUGCAGAAGAGGGUAGUGGAACUCCAUGUGUAGCGUGGAAUGCGUAGAUAUAUGGAAGAACACCAGUGGCGAAGGCGGCUACCUGGUCUGCAACUGACGCUGAGACUCGAAAGCAUGGGUAGCGAACAGGAUUAGAUACCCCUGGUAGGCUAGCG
rnacentral:rRNA from 1 species